rnacentral:rRNA from 1 species
UACGUAGGGUGCAAGCGUUAAUCGGAAUUACUGGGCGUAAAGCGUGCGCAGGCGGUGAUGUAAGACAGUUGUGAAAUCCCCGGGCUCAACCUGGGAACUGCAUCUGUGACUGCAUCGCUGGAGUGCGGCAGAGGGGGAUGGAAUUCCGCGUGUAGCAGUGAAAUGCGUAGAUAUGCGGAGGAACACCGAUGGCGAAGGCAAUCCCCUGGGCCUGCACUGACGCUCAUGCACGAAGCGUGGGGAGCAACAGG